rnacentral:rRNA from 1 species
UACGAAGGGGGCUAGCGUUGUUCGGAAUUACUGGGCGUAAAGCGCGUGUAGGCGGUUGUUCAAGUCAGGUGUGAAAGCCUUGAGCUCAACUCAAGAAAUGCACUUGAUACUGGAUAACUAGAGGACCGGAGAGGAUAGUGGAAUUCCCAGUGUAGUGGUGAAAUACGUAGAGAUUGGGAAGAACACCAGUGGCGAAGGCGGCUAUCUGGACGGUUUCUGACGCUAAGACG